rnacentral:rRNA from 1 species
UGCUGUAGCCAUAUCACCCUGCAGCCCAAGACUGGUUGCCCACUGAAGCUAAGCAGGGUUGAGCCUGGUCAGUACCUGGAUGCGAGACCUCCUGGGAAAACUAGGUUGCUGCUGGAA